rnacentral:lncRNA from 1 species
GGAAAGUGGAGAAGAGAAGAGAAAAGAAGAGAAGAACUAGGGCAUUUUAAAAGUGUGAUGAUGGAGGAUUGUUCCUGAUUCUCCCUGCCAAACAGAGAUAGUUGAGAUAAUGAGGAAUGCUCUCCAUUCAUCAGGCAAUUCCCCUCCCUCAGACGUUAUAUGCAGAUCUAGAGGAAAAACCCAUUUUGCCACAGCUGAUAUGCACUGAGAAAACUAUGUUACAUCAACAGCAGCAUCAGUAUUGCCAUCGGUGAUGCAUUUUUUAAGAUUUAUAUCCUAACGUGCUCCUAAAACUGGAAUUCAAGACAGCUCAUUAAAAUGAGCUUUGUUGGAUGGUUGGUUGGAUGGAUUCCAGCAGAAUGAAGGAUUAUAAAUUCACCAUCUCUAUUGUACAAAAAAUUAAAUCAGAGCUAACCGAAAUUUAGAGAUUUCUAUGGAACUCCAGGUUAUAGACAUUAUCUAUGCUUCGAAUCACAACUUGGUGCUUGGCACAUUUUGCAGUUCGGUUGUUUUUAACUGUCUAGGAUACAAAUUUUGAUGCAAUUAUGUUUUAUUGGUGCAAUUAUGUUUUAUUUAAGUGUUUGUAUCGCUUAUACUUUAAUUCAAUGUUUAUGGUAAUAAGUCCGUUAAUGUUUAAUUCCCAUAUUUUGAUAUAAUGUGAUCUUAAUUAUGGCAUUGAAUGUU